rnacentral:misc_RNA from 1 species
CUCCGCAUUCUGGCCGCACCUGAGGUGUAUCUCGUAGCCGCAGGCGAUGCACUGGUACGCCCAGCCGAGUCCCUGCUCCUCGCACUCGCAGCAGAUGUAGGGCCCUCCCCCGGACUUCUCCGACACGAUGCUGAGCUCGUGGCGGUGUCCCCGGUGGCGCAGCGACCGCGGGUACUCCUUGGCCGCCUCGUCCUCCGCCUCCUGCAGCAGCCUGAUCUGCGCGUCCGUGAACGGGAAGGCCAUGUCGAAGUAGAGGUUCACCAGGUUCCGGCCGUCCCGCGUCACCGUCCUGCCGUCGGGCCCGACCACCACCAGCGUCGGGAUCUCCCGCACGUCGAAGUACCUCGCCAGCGCGCGCGACGGCGCGCCGUCGUAGGGGAGCGCCAGCCACGGCAUGUCGCCGCAGGAGCGCAGGUACCCGUCCUCCUCCCUGUCCAUGGGGACGUACACGACCUCGAAGUCCUCCGCCUUGCCCCUGAGGCUGCUGUAGAUGGCCGCCAGCUUCGUCGUGAACUUGAUACACGGCGCGCAAUGGUUAGCCGAGAAGUAGAGCCCCACCGUCUUCCCCACCAGGCUCGAGACCGGAACCUGCAGCCCGGCCUUAGCCGCGGUGAGCUAGCUAGGCCAACACAGCUCGUCCGAUCCAAUCCAACACGCGCGUUGUUCGCUUACCUUUUCAUUAUUACCACUGUUCAUCACGUACUCUUUCCCGCUGACGGAGAAGAGCUUCUCCAGCGUCUGGGACGCGUACUUGCGCUGGUCAUCCGCCUCCAGCUCCGCCACCCUCGCGGCCGUGAACGGGAACGCCCUCUCGCCGUAGCGGUGCACGAGGUCGGCGGCGUCCGGGUGUACCACCGCGCCGCCGUCCGGAGCGAGCACCACCAGGCGCGGGAUGCCCUCCACCUGGAACCUCUCGCUGAGGCGCUUCUUGCAGCUGAGGUCGCCGAAAGGCACCGCUGGCCACGGCAUGGUUCCGUGGAACCGCUCGAACGACGGCCGGUCCUCGUCGCACGACACCAGCACGACCUCGAAGCCGGCGCCGCGCUCCUUGAGCUGCUCGUAGGCCGCGGCCAGCACCGGGGUGAAAGCCUCGCAUUUCGGAUACCAGUUUGCCGCGAAGUAGAGGCCGAUGAUCUUGCCGUCGAUCUCCCGAAACUGAACCUGCCAGGAUGUUCGGUGAGGAUGGAUCUCGAGAAGAAGAUGCUUAUAAAGAAUGACUGGAAGGACCAUGGGUUACGAUUAAAAAUUACUACAUCCAUAUACAGUAGAAAACAUGUGAAAAUAUAGUAAACUCUCAAUCUGCACUUCACCGUGCGAUUCUGAUUCUUGUCGUACGUAGCUAGGGUCAGGGACGGAAUAUGAACUGAACAGUACGUUCCAAAAGCAAAAGUACAGCACAAAUAAUGCUGCAUAUAUUCUGAUUCGAUUUCACGUACGAGCUACAAAAGGAGCUAGGACGUAUACGUGGAAGUUUCAGUGAGGUCGCGACAUGAGCACGUGUCAUGUUGUUGUUAGGCGAGAGAUAAAAAAAAAAUAUGAUCGAUUUAACUGGUACCGGAUUGUCCGUAGAAGUAUGAAGAGUUGCUUGCUAUUAAUUUUUUUUUUCUAAAAAAGAAGGCCCGAAACUUGUAGCUGCUUUUAGGCUUUAUAAUCAUCUAAAGCUCGACCACUAGGAGUCUAGCCUAGGAUGCAUGAACAAACUUUCUUAAACAGUGUUUACCUUCAAAUUUGAAGCCCUCGAAAGCAAUAUCCUAGAUUAACUAGCCAGCGUUGUUUAUAUAUAUACUUGCAUGACACACAAAAUAUGGAUGUCGUUAGCCUAUUAGCAUGUUUAUCUGCGUGUUUUAUAUAUCGAUCCCCUAUUAAGCUCAUCUUCACUCUUGCAUGUGCCAAAUCCUUUCUAUCAGUAUAUAUGAAGCAAACCUUCCUGAGAUAGUUUAAUUAAUUAGGUGUGUUUUAGAUCAAACGUACGAAAUUAAAAACAAAAAAAAAACUGAAGGAGCUAGCAGAUGAGUGAUGAACCUUACUGUAUCUACCCAAGAGCCAAAUCCCUACUAGCAGAGAACGUACAGAGGAUCGGAGUAGAGUGGCCACCGAAGCAGAUGCAGAAGGAAUGAAGACGAGCUGAAGCUGGAAGAGACUUGGUUCUUACCUCGUCCCCGGAGGGAGCGACGAGCGAGGCCGUGGUGAGCACGGAGCGUAUGCCGCCGCCUCCCACCUCCGGCGCGUCCCCCGGAUCUCCGGCCAUGUUCAGUCGGCUCCGUCUCCGGACAAGCGCAGCUCUGGAGACAGACAGACAGGCAGACAGGCAGGCAAGGUGAGGUAGGCUUGCUGCGAACGCUCUCGCUCUCGCUCUCGCCGAUGGAUGCCUGAUGCUAGACUGCGACAGGGCAACAGGCAGGGGGUCUGCGUCUGGCUACGCGUCCCGCGGCCGGCGCCACAGAUAUAAACGGCCAAUGGAGUGCGGCCCUUUGGCGCGUCCUUUUUACGGGGGCGUCCGCGUCAUUUCGGCGGGCAGGGGUAGCCGCUAGGCAGGCGCUGUUGGCAGGCGCACGGCCGAACUGUAUGCGUCGGUGCCUUUCAAACGUGUUGGCAGCAGUGGCACGGCUCUGGGGCGGGCGUGGAGAGGCAGCCUGGCGUGGGAGCAGGUGUCGCGCGGAGAGCGGCGGUGCGUGCGGGCACCCAUGCUUCUCGUCGUGCGGGUCAGUCAGUCACCGGCCGGAGCUGUGCGGACUGGGGUACGUGGACGUGGUGACGUGCGGUGGGUGGAAAACGACGGCACCCAGCUCAAAUCGAUCGCUCCGCGAGCAGGACCAUGGGGGCCCCGCCCCGGGGUUUCUUUGCGGCCC